UAUCCCUGCUUCUGAUGGAAAUUUUAAACACUGGUGCAGGGAUGAUGUUACCGCUCCAAAUGCAUGUAAUGCUAUCCUGCCUAGUAUUGCGUUGUUCCCGGAUGAAAAUGGCACCACCGAAAAUUUUACUAUCACUGUUGUUUCCUGUACAAACCUUCCCAACGUUACAGGGAUAUCUAUUGUCCCUAGUAUUUGGAUUUCUCCUUGGCCAAAUCCCGUAACCAGUGUGCCGUACGGACCUAAGUCUGCCCUGCAAAAUCCAAGUUGAUCAAAUGCACUCCAGUACAA
rnacentral:lncRNA from 1 species